rnacentral:rRNA from 1 species
AUUGAACGCUGGCGGCAGGCCUAACACAUGCAAGUCGAACGGUAACAGGAAGCAGCUUGCUGCUUCGCUGACGAGUGGCGGACGGGUGAGUAAUGUCUGGGAAGCUGCCUGAUGGAGGGGGAUAACUACUGGAAACGGUAGCUAAUACCGCAUAAUGUCGCAAGACCAAAGAGGGGGACCUUCGGGCCUCUUGCCAUCGGAUGUGCCCAGAUGGGAUUAGCUUGUUGGUGGGGUAACGGCUCACCAAGGCGACGAUCCCUAGCUGGUCUGAGAGGAUGACCAGCCACACUGGGACUGAGACACGGUCCAGACUCCUACGGGAGGCAGCAGUGGGGAAUAUUGCACAAUGGGCGCAAGCCUGAUGCAGCCAUGCCGCGUGUAUGAAGAAGGCCUUCGGGUUGUAAAGUACUUUCAGCGGGGAGGAAGGGAGUAAAGUUAAUACCUUGGCUCAUUGACGUUACCCGCAGAAGAAGCACCGGCUAACUCCGUG